ACUUCCUCCUUGGGACCAUUGGGAGUGAGUUCUGCCCUUUGGAAUGGGGUCUGUCAGCAGAAGGAGCAGCAACUGCACCUGGAGACUGCUUCCUUUAGAGUGUGGGGUGAACCCUUGAAACUGGGGCUGUGACCUUUCCCGUUUCUGGGGCAUCCUGACCACGUUGAAGUGCUGGCAGAUGUAAGGGCAAUGUUGAUCUCUGGAGACUGUCUCCUGUGGAGCAGGGAAAGCCAAGGAUUGUCCUCUUCUGGACUGCUGUACUCAGCAUCACCCCAGCGUGAUGAAGUGAAGCCCCUUGUCUGCUGAAUACUGGGACUGGCCCAGAGAGGCUCUGUGACGGAUGUGGAUUAUCCCAGCUGGAGUACCUGGUACCAUUGGUGGUGAUCUCGUCCAACUGCCACACAACGAACAGGAACAUCCACAGCCAGAUCAGGCUGCCCGGAGGCUGACGCAGCCUCACCUUGGAAGGGACAGGGCAUCCAUCACAUGUCUGGGUGUUGAAAGGCUGUUACCAGAUCACCUCGGAGCCUUCACUUCUGCAGGCUGAACAGCUCCAGCUCUCUCUCUUUAUAGGAAAG